rnacentral:rRNA from 1 species
CAAUAGCGUAUAUUAUUGAUGUUGCAGUUGAAACGUUCGUAGUCGAAUCUUAUCUGCCAAAGCAUUGUGUCAUUUAUGAUGACAUAAUGCUCUCGGCAGAGAUUGUACAAGCAUGUGUUUCACGUGUCUGACCUUGUAUCUUACUUUGAGUGAAUCGGCGUGUUCCACGCAGGCAUGUGCCUUGAACGAUUUACCAUAGCAUAAUCAGAGUAUGGAACUGCUUCCUUGUUUGUUCGGAAGCUCUUUCGAUACUGAUAGGAACGGUUGAGGGCAUUCGUAUUCGACUGCUAGAGGUGAAAUUCUUUGAUUAGUCGAGGACGAACCAUUGCGAAAGCAUCUGCCAAGGACGUUUCCUUUG